AAUUUUAUGUAUUUAGUUCUAAGAAUAUGAAUGGUAUCUUUUUGGAAGUUAUAAGAAAUAGAAUUUCUGUAGACUACGAUAGGAUCAGAAAUGUUGUUAAACAUAUUUCUAAUAAUUUUGUUUGAAAGUUGACCUUCUUUAAAUUCACAGCCUUCAGUUAACAGUGGAGGUAAAUACAAGGUCAUGGGGUUCGACGUCCACGAACAUCUUGAACACAAUAAACAAACGUGAAAUAAAGAAAAUAUAAGUACACCAGCUAUUCGAAAGACAAUAUUUAAGGUACGUUUGUUGUCAUGCUGGAUUCAUCGGAGCAGGUCAGUUGGCUCACGCGCUGGUGAAGGGCUUCUUCACAGCAGCAGGUGUGAUCGCCACACACAGGAUAACAGCGAGCUCUCCAGACACAGACCUGCCAACUGUCAUUGGGCUAAGAAAAAUGGGAGCAUACUUCACCACCAGUAAUAAAGAGACUGUGAACAAGAGUGAUGUUCUGUUCCUU